CCUACGGGAGGCUGCAGUAGGGAAUAUUGCUCAAUGGGGGAAACCCUGACGCAGCAACGCCGCGUGGAGGAUGAAGUUUUUCGGAUUGUAACCUCCUUUUGUUAGAGAAGAUAAUGACGGUAUCUACCGAAUACGCCCCGGCUACCUCCGUGCCAGCAGCCGCGGUAAUCCGGAGGGUGCACGCGUUACUCGGAAUCACUGGGCGUAAAGAGCGCGUAGGCGGGAUAGCAAGUCAGAUGUGAAAUCCUAUGGCUUAACCAUAGAACUGCAUUUGAAACUGUUAUUCUAGAGUGUGGGAGAGGUAGGUGGAAUUCUUGGUGUAGGGGUAAAAUCCGUAGAGAUCAAGAGGAAUACGCAUUGCGAAGGCGACCUGCUAGAACAUAACUGACGCUGAUGCGCGAAAGCGUGGGGAGCAAACAGGAUUAGAUACCCGAGGAGUC
rnacentral:rRNA from 1 species